rnacentral:rRNA from 1 species
UAUAAUCGACACCCCACGCUAUACCUCACCCCCCCUAGCCGACCAGCCUAUAUACCGCCGUCGCCAGCUCACGCUGUGAGCCCAUAACCGUAAGCGUAAUCAUCACCCAUUAAAACGACAGGUCAAGGUGUAGUUAAUGGGGGGGCAGUGAUGGGCUACAUUUUCUUCACUAGAAAAUACCACCCGCACCAUGAAACCUUUGCCCAAAGGCGGAUUUAGAAGUAAGCCCUGACAAGACAUGUCAACCUGAAAUAUGCCCUGGGACA